AGCAGCCGCGGUAAUUCCAGCUCCAAGUAGCGUAUAUUAAAGUUGUUGCAGUUAAAAAGCUUGUAGUUGAAUUUCGGGAUCAAUAUAUCGGUCGUGCCAUUGGUACGUACUGGUAUCAUUGGUUUCUCCUUUCUGACGAACCAUGAUGUCAUUAAUUUGGUGUUAUGGGAAGUUAGGACUGUUACUUUGAAAAAUUAGAGUGUUUAAAGCAGGCUUUAGCUUGAAUACAUUAGCAUGGAAUAAUGAAAUAGGACGUUCGAACCUAUUUUGUUGGUUUCUAGGAUCAACGUAAUGAUUAAUAGGGAUAGUUGGGGGCAUUAGUAUUCAAUUGUCAGAGGUGAAAUUCUUGGAUUUAUUGAAGACUAACUACUGCGAAAGCAUUUGCCAAGGAUGUUUUCAUUAAUCAAGAACGAAGUUAGGGGAUCGAAGACGAUCAGAUACGUCGUAGUCUUAACCAUAAACUAU
rnacentral:rRNA from 1 species